UAGGGAAUCUUCGGCAAUGGGGGGAACCCUGACCGAGCAACGCCGCGUGAGUGAAGAAGGUUUUCGGAUCGUAAAGCUCUGUUGUUAAGGAAGAACGAGUGUGAGAAUGGAAAGUUCAUACUGUGACGGUACUUAACCAGAAAGGGACGGCUAACUACGUGCCAGCAGCCGCGGUAAUACGUAGGUCCCGAGCGUUGUCCGGAUUUAUUGGGCGUAAAGCGAGCGCAGGCGGUUAGAUAAGUCUGAAGUUAAAGGCAGUGGCUCAACCAUUGUAGGCUUUGGAAACUGUUUAACUUGAGUGCAGAAGGGGAGAGUGGAAUUCCAUGUGUAGCGGUGAAAUGCGUAGAUAUAUGGAGGAACACCGGUGGCGAAAGCGGCUCUCUGGUCUAUAACUGACGCUGAGGCUCGAAAGCGUGGGGAGCGAACAGG
rnacentral:rRNA from 1 species